GAUGAAGAACGCAGCGAAAUGCGAUAAGUAGUGUGAAUUGCAGAAUUCAGUGAAUCAUCGAAUCUUUGAACGCACAUUGCGCCCCUUGGUAUUCCAUGGGGCAUGCCUGUUCGAGCGUCAUUUGUACACUCAAGCUUUGCUUGGUGUUGGGUGUUUGUCCCGCGUUGCGCGUGGACUCGCCUUAAAGCGAUUGGCAGCCGGCAUAUUGGCCUUGGAGCGCAGCACAUUUUGCGCUUCUAGUCAUGAAUGUUGGCGUCCAUUAAGCCUAUACAUUUGCUCUUGACCUCGGAUCAGGUAGGGAUACCCGCUGAACUUAAGCAUAUCAAUAAGCGGAGGA
rnacentral:misc_RNA from 1 species